UAAGGAAUAUUGGACAAUGGGCGCAAGCCUGAUCCAGCCAUGCCGCGUGCAGGAUGACGGCCCUAUGGGUUGUAAACUGCUUUUAGCAGGGAAAAAACCCCUCGAUGCGUCGGGGGCUGAUGGUACCUGCAGAAUAAGGAUCGGCUAACUCCGUGCCAGCAGCCGCGGUAAUACGGAGGAUCCAAGCGUUAUCCGGAUUUAUUGGGUUUAAAGGGUGCGUAGGCGGAUUAAUAAGUCAGUGGUGAAAGCCUGCAGCUUAACUGUAGAAUUGCCAUUGAUACUGUUAAUCUUGAAUGUAGUUGAGAUGGGCGGAAUAUGACAUGUAGCGGUGAAAUGCUUAGAUAUGUCAUAGAACACCGAUUGCGAAGGCAGCUCGUUAAACUAUUAUUGACGCUGAGGCACGAAAGCGUGGGGAGCAAACAGG
rnacentral:rRNA from 1 species